rnacentral:lncRNA from 1 species
UGCCUCCCUACAUGUAAGUACUGAACUGGCGACUACAUUCGUACUAGCUAACUAGCACCUCUAGGCAUGCAUCGGGUCGAGCUCUCCGUGCGGUUUGUAUGUGGACGGCCCAUCAUGAGCCCACCUUCCUUGGACGGCACUACUUCGUCUCAGCACGCGUGCCCACUCUGUAGAAACCAUAAAUUCCGCUCGGAUGUCCGAUUCAGCACUUUAGAGGGAAAAAAGGAAUGGCUAAAAAAAGGGAAUAUGUUAGCAUAACUAAAAGGGAAAGAAAGAAAAAAAACCCAGACAUGUGUGCGCUGGCAGAUAACAGUGCGUACAGCGGAUCUUUUUUCUAAGUAUUGUAA